GCCUGGCUUGUAGCAUACGACUACAAAUUUUACGCUGUGUGUGUGAAUAUAUAUAUAUAUAUAUUCACACACACACACACAGCGUAAAAUUUGUAGUCGUAUGCUACAAGCC